GCUCCAGCUCCUCAGCUUGCCUUCUUAUACAGCCCAGGACCACCUGCCCAGGUAUGGCACUGCCCGGAGUGGGCUGGGCCCUCGCGCCUCAAUCACUAAUCAAGAAAAUGUCCCACAAAUAGGCUUUACAGGCCAAAUUGGUAUACGAAGUUCUUUAAUCAAAGUCCCCCCUUCCAUAUACAUCUAGGUUUUUAUCAGGUUGACAAAGCUAACAGCACAGCCACUUCUCAAGAGGAAGAAAAGCUCCUCCCCUGCCCUCUCACUCCACAGGCUCCACCACUAAAGCAAACAGCCAUAAACAUAAAGACGAUAAAGCCAACAGGUAAUGUUUGCCCUUAUGCAUUUGCCAAGACACGGCCUAGCUCGGCACUUCAUUUCCAGUCUCCAUCCAUUCCCUGUGUUUGCACCUUGCCCAGUUUAUUUUCGGUGGGAGAUACUACACCCUGACCUACCCAUAUGGUUGAGUUCCGUUCGGGAAUCUCUACCCAAACCCUACGACUAGAGAAUGAGACCCUGGAAGAGUUAAACAGAAUUGAAGAAAUAUAUUUCCAAGGAUCUACAGAGUAAUAAGGAAGACGAACUCAGCCUAGAUAAACUUAGGUUGUGUUCCAGCAGGAAAGAACAGAGCAGCAAUUUGGGGCAGCCAAGUACAAGCUGGGGCAUGGCACAAAUGACCAUGUCAUAAACGCUAAGCAAGCGGCUUCGCUCAAAGCCCCGCAGCUGGGCAGGUCCCCUGGGACUCGAAGGAAGGGACUAUCAUUUAGCUUGUUACAGAUACAGUAACAACUACUGUGGCGUUUAAAGGGAAAAGUUCCAUAGCUUUGAAAACCAAGAUAUGCAUGCUUUGUGCAUUAGGAUGGAGUAAUAAGGAAACUGAAAGGAGUCUUAAAUGGGGAUAAUGUUUCUGUGGCUAACCUAAAAAUAGCUGCUAGAAGGACUAAUCCCUCACUAACUGGAUAACAGCAGACCAGACACGGGUGUGCCCUUUGAAUACGAAUGAAUUGCUCCUUGCCAUUAAGGUACCAAGACUUGAAAACAGCAAGUGUCUUGAACAUGGUAUCUGCAAUGAGACGCUGCACAGCAAAAGUGCUCACUCCAAGAAGUCAUUUGCCUCCCCAGUUUCUACACUUGCAAUCUCAGUGAUGUGCUUGGACCAUUUUACAGUAAUCCUGGCGUCCCUCUGCCUCUGGCUGAUGCCAUGUCUCUGAAGAUGAAGGGGAAGCUAUGCACAGACGUUCCUUGGGAAUGUCUGAAAUGAAUGUGUGCUGAUUACCGGACACACUAUAACUCAAACGCAGGGAUACUACUUCCAAAUGCAAAAAUCUCCGAAUCAAAAUGAAUGAAGAGUUUUAGAUCACAUUUUUAGGAUGAAAUAUGAUGUAUCUUUUUUUUUCUAGCAGGUAAGACACAAUCCUUCAGAGAAAGGGGCCCAAGCCCAGAACUAGGACAUGUGCGGGUGUGUGGUAGUAGGGUAGUGUCACGAGCCUGCUGCACAGCUGGUGAACAAACAUCGCAUCUGUAUACUUUUGUUGUUUUGAUUUGGUUGUUGACACAAGUUCUUAUUAAUUGCCCACCUUGGCCCAAACUGGGCUCAAAAGGUACACAUGCCUUCCAAACAGCUGGGAGAGGAGUAAAAGCCACAUCUGCCUGCACCUCACAGAUGCAUGUGCCCGGGAGGCACACGGACAUAACUGUUCCCACCUCCGUGCUGCUCAAUGCCACGCGGCAGGUUACGCUUUGUGUCUGCCCUUGACAAUGCUAUGGGGAAACUGCCCGGUCAUAAAUGUGAGCUCACUUUUAUUUUUAGCCUUUCUUGGUGGUUGUUAACAUUCUUCCCUGAGCACUUUUACUGGCGCAAAAGGAUGUAAGUAACAUCUUGUCUCAGCGUGCUAUCGACUGGAGGUUAUAUUUAGUAAGUGUGAAGAGCCCCAGGGAUAAGGGGGUGAGACCCUUCUUCAGAGGCACGGUAUGAACAUCCUCCCAUAAGCCAUCUGAAGGUUCUGGGAGAAUGGCUUUAAUGUAAUCCAUUUGUCUAGCUGGCACCUCCAUCAGACGAGGAUGUAAGAUAAAGCAUCCAUUGUAAAAGUGAAAUCAAUUAUUAAACAACUAAAGCCAUCAAAUUAGGGGCAGAGUGGCCACCUGCAGGCACAAGACAAGACUGCCUUUCAAAGGAGAGAACUGCCACACUUGAGAAUUGACAUGUCCAGUGGGUGUAAGUGUGUUGGGGGGGGGGUGACAACUGUCAGACAUUAAAGAGUGGACAGUGUAGGAUCAGGGUAACUGGUGAGUGUAACUCUGCAUCAUGCACACUUAGACAUGCCUCUAUGUAGCCAGAUCCUGGGUAACACUGUCUAACUUGAUCAUGCAUCUGGUAAUUAAUGCAUGUGUAUGCGAGUCACACACACACACCACUGACACAGCUCUUGGAGGGGGGUGGGGGGAAGAUAAAGUCUUUCUUUACAUCCUCAUCCAUAAUGAAGGUAAAGAAAUGGCCUGUAAGGAACCAAAUGACAAUGUCAAAAUUUGAGUCCAUUUCUCUCUAAACCUACAGUCUGGAGUUUUACCCUGAAACACAUAUUGUCUCCAAGAACUUCCAAACAUAAUCCAGACCUUCAGAGUAAGUACAAAAUUACCCAGGACAGAGGUGGGUCAAGUCUGUGUGUGGAGUGCCCUGUAUAGUGCAGAAAACAGAAGCAGAGAUGAGACCCAUAUCUGCCUUAUUUCCUACCAAGGAAGAGGGAGCCAUCUAGAAUGAGCGAAUGAACCGGUCCUGUUCAGAUCAGAGCUGAUCCGGAACUGCACCAGCUCUGUGGGCCUCAGUUGGUUCUCCUAGAAAUUAAUAGGCUGCUCUGAAAUAGUUCACUGUGAAGUGAAGGGAUUAAAACUACCUUGUGCCAUUUUCCAGCUCCAACAUUCUAGUAUCUGAGCUGCUGGGAUCCUUCCUAUCUUUAGCCGUCCUCACCCUUUCCUUUAAAACUCAGGCCAGGUAGUUAGGUUCACACAGGAGCCCAUUGGAAAAUCAAAACCAAAAGGAGCCCCUUACUGACCAGAAGAGGGCAGGGGAGACAGGUCUGUUGCUGCUAUGUAUUCAAAUGCUAUACACUAUCUGAAGAUCUGGCUGUCCCAAAGCCAGGGCCAGCCAGGGAAUUCUGCAGUACACCAGCUUUAGUUGGAUAAACCUUGCCCCGCCCCCUGCCCGAAAGUUAUCCUAAUUGGUUAAUAAAGAUGCCUGCAGCCUGAGCUAGGCAGGAGGGAGGGAGGCAGAGCAAAAGUUCUUAUGCUUGGGGUCACAGAAAGAGAAGAAGAAGGAGAAGGAAAGAAGAAAGUCACCAUGGGGCAGGUGGAUCUCCAGUGCAUGGCACGGGGGCUGGCCCGAUGGAGUGGAGCAGCCCAAGUAGACCAUAGUCUCUGUACAAGACCAUACACUCGGUGACGCAAGCAGCCAACCUGAGAGGCAAGAAGUUCCCUACACUUGCCAAACUGUGCCCACGACAACUAGGAACAGGACAGAAAACGGCAGCUCCAGUCCUUUCCAGCAUCAGCAUCACCGUCCCGACAGGGUCUGCAUGGGUCCUUCGUGCAAUAAGAAUUUCCAGGUUGAGACCUGAAAUUCAGUGAAGUGCUGGGUCUGCAGCUCCUGUCCUCAGCGGUGUGUCACAGACCAGAGACCUCCAGAACGCUCACCCACCACACACAUCCACUCCCACGAAACACGCAGUGCACCUUCUACAUGCAAACAAAUCUAUUGAGAGGUAAGGGAUGACUGGCCCAAGGUCACUCGGCUUGCUUUUGUUUGAUUUCUCCCUUCACUUAAUGUUUAAACUGAGUCCUUCUGAGCACAGUUCUAUGGGGGGUAGUGAAAAAGCCAGCUAAAUCUUUACUGUGUCUGACGAAAUCUUGGCUUUAGACUAAAAACAGAAAAACAAACCAGCCAACCGGAUUCUGAUCUUACUCUUGCAGAAGAGAUCAAUCAUUACCUUUCCUUUUACAUAAAGUGGGGGAGCCUCAGGGGCUUGGAGGGCUAUGGAGUGAUGGGCUGUAGGAGGUAAGAAGGCGGUUGGCUCAACACGACUCAGUAGCCAGUGGUGGUUCAAACUUCAGGAGUCUAACCACGAGUGGUGUAUUUUAAGCAUAUGUAGCACAGCCGAAUUUGGUGAAAACUAUUCUGGUGAUGAACUCAAUCCCGUGCGCACAACAAAGCACACAUAAACUUCCUUAAGAAACAAAGUCAGCUAAAUACGGAUUGGACGUGACUAUGCAAGUCCAUAAAGAUAGGUUCUAUAGAUUGACUGAGGGAAAAUAAGUUUUUGAUAAGAGUCUCAGGAAAGGUCUGGUGCCAGGAAAGUCUCGGGCCAUGCAAACAGAAAAUAAAAAAAAAAAAAAAAAAGGCCACCAGGCUAGGAACCGUCAGCCCUCUGGGCCAAUGACAGGUGCUAAUUCUUUUCUUUGAAGGGACAACCCUGUGUGCUUAGCAGCCCAGGCUCCCCACUUGGGUUAUCUGUGAGCACAAACACCUCCAAGCCUCUUAUGAUAAAGCAUGGACUCUGGCCCUAAGGGUAAACAUUGUAUCUGAGAAGAAAUGACUCUUUAGCAGGAAGGUCCAAGAAACAGGAAAGGGAUCAAGUGUUGAGCAGAGUGAGCUUCAGGGCAGCCCAACUACUCAGUGAGUCUCCCAGGCUGCUGAGGGAGCUCUCAAAGCUUAGGCUGACCAUCGCACUGAAGCGGUUGGAAACAUUCGUUUAUUAUUAUAUAUGUUAUCAUCAGCAUCCCCCAGACAGGAAACAAUGACCACAACUCACUGAGAAUAGAAAGAAUAGACAGUGGUCGUUUGUAAUUGUUCUCUGAUUUCGUGGAAUCACAGCAUAAGAUGGGCUCAUUGCUCCUGUCUUUGUAGGUACCUUCUGGUAACCAAAUUGUCCAACAGCCCUGGAGAAGUGUGGUGACGGUAGCCUAGGAAGGAAGGAGUCUUAUUGUGCUGGGGCAGCCUGAGCUCACUCCCAAAUGUAGCUCAAGAUGACUUGAGACUGGUGGCAAUCCUCCUGCCUCAGCCUUCCAAGUGUGGGGAUUACAGGUAUGAGGUAUCAUGCAGGUUUGUGGGAGGAGCAAUAAGGCAGUCAGUUUACUUGCCACAUGCAGGAUAGACUGUCAAGGGCAAUCGGGGAGUAUUGCACUUAUCUCCAUGGUAAAUGCCCCUCAUUGCCUUUGCAGAGUUGGAAAGAUUAGGUUGGUAUUAGGCACAGAAUGCAGACCUCAGUCCCACCAUCCGGUGGUAAAAGGAAGAAAAGGCACACAAGACAAAAACCAAGCAAUAAGCAGUGUUUCUUAACCACAACAUCCAAAGGCAACAGAAAUCACACACAGGCUGUGCUGCCUUUGAGCAGAAACCCUUGUGUCCUUGCCAGAGGUAGUCUGGCCUGAAGUAUGGAAGAUUUACCAACGGGAGGAAAGAAAGUCAGACAUAAAAUCCAGAGCAAUGGGCGAGUCUGUGAGACCUGUUUUAUCUCUACUUGUAUGAAAGCAGAACUUUCAAGAUAAUUGCCUCAAUUAAUUGGCCAUAGCUGCAGGUUUUUCCCAAGCCUGGAACAGAGCAGCCCCUGGGGAGAGGAAUGAGGCCUUGGGAGAGCCAGCAUCACUGAAUUUGACUAAGCCACCAGCUCUGGAACCAUUUCUUUUCAAAAUGUUUACAUGUGUGACUUUUUAUAAACACACAUAUGCAACAUUUUUUUUAAAGACAGUAGUGUGUGGAGAGCACAUUAAAAUAUAGAGAAAGAUGAAUCUCAAUCUAAACACCCCAAAACAGGCCUGUAACUCACCGAUUCUCUCCCUUCCUCCUGCCCACAGACCAGUUCCUUCCUCACCUUUAUCCUCUUCCUCUUCUCCCUGGUAUUUACAGACUGACAAGCUAACAGUCAACUCUGACAGCUUGGGGUAAAGGGUCUUUGAUAGGAGAUCACUUUGUGCAAAUCUCACUCUUGUACAGAUUCUUAUUAAAGAUUCUAUGGAUGCAUUUUGAUGGCCUAA